rnacentral:rRNA from 1 species
AGCGAACGCUAGCGGCGCGCCUAACACAUGCAAGUCGAGCGAGAAAGUGGGGGCAACUCCAUGAGUAGAGCGGCGAACGGGUGAGUAAUGCAUGGGUAAUCUACCCAUAAGACCGGGAUAACCUUCCGAAAGGAGGGCUAAUACCGGAUAAGACCACACGACGUAGGUUGCGGGGUUUAAGGUGGGGAUUCUUCGGAAUCUAUCACUUAUGGAUGAGCCCAUGUCCUAUCAGCUUGUUGGUAGGGUAAUGGCCUACCAAGGCUAAGACGGGUAGCUGGUCUGAGAGGACGAUCAGCCACACUGGCACUGGAAUACGGGCCAGACUCCUACGGGAGGCAGCAGUGGGGAAUCUUGCGCAAUGGGCGAAAGCCUGACGCAGCGACGCCGCGUGAGGGAAGAAGGUUUUCGGAUCGUAAACCUCUGUCGGGGGGGAAGAAAAUCCUGAUGGCUAAUAUCCAUCAGGAUUGACGGUACCCCCAAAGGAAGCAUCGGCUAACUACGUGCCAGCAGCCGCGGUAACAC